rnacentral:rRNA from 1 species
GACGAACGCUGGCGGCGUGCUUAACACAUGCAAGUCGAACGGAAAGGCCCUGCGCUUGCGGGGUGCUCGAGAGGCGAACGGGUGAGUAAAACGUGAGUAACCUCCCCUUGUCUUUGGGAUAACUCCAGGGAACUGGGGCGAAUACAGCAGAUGAUCUCUUGCUGCAUGGGGGGGGUUGGAAAGAUUCGGCGGUUGGGGCUGUUCUAGCGGCUUAUCAGCUGCUUGGUGGGGUAGUGGAUGACCACGGGUUUGACGGCUAGGCGGCCUGAGAGGGUUGCCGGCCACAUUGGGACUGAGAGACGCACCAGACGCCUACGGGAGGCAGUGGUGGGGAAUAUUGCAGAAUGGGCGGAAGCCUGAUGCAGCAACGCCGCGUGCGGAAUGACGGCCUUCGGGUUGUAAACCGAUUUCGCAUGUGACGAGGCGUGAGUGACGGUAAUGGGUAAAGAAGCACCGGCUAACUACGUG